rnacentral:rRNA from 1 species
UACGAAGGGGGCUAGCGUUGUUCGGAAUUACUGGGCGUAAAGGGCGCGUAGGCGGUCUGAUUAGUCAGAUGUGAAAUUCCCGGGCUCAACCUGGGCGCUGCAUUUGAUACUGUCAGGCUUGAAUUCAGGAGAGGAUAGCGGAAUUCCCAGUGUAGAGGUGAAAUUCGUAGAUAUUGGGAAGAACACCGGUGGCGAAGGCGGCGACCUGGUCCGAUACUGACGCUGAGGCGCGAAAGCGUGGGGAGCAAACAGG